rnacentral:rRNA from 1 species
UACGGGGGGAGCAAGCGUUGUUCGGAUUUACUGGGCGUAAAGGGCGCGUAGGCGGCCACCGCAAGUCGACUGUGAAAUCUCCGGGCUUAACCCGGAAAGGUCAGCCGAAACUGCGGGGCUAGAGUGCAGAAGGGGCAACUGGAAUUCUCGGUGUAGCGGUGAAAUGCGUAGAUAUCGAGAGGAACACCUGCGGCGAAGGCGGGUUGCUGGGCUGACACUGACGCUGAAGCGCGAAAGCUAGGGGAGCGAACGGG